UGGGGAAUAUUGGACAAUGGGCGAAAGCCUGAUCCAGCCAUGCCGCGUGUGUGAAGAAGGUCUUCGGAUUGUAAAGCACUUAAGUUGGGAGGAAGGGCAUUAACCUAAUACGUUAGUGUUUUGACGUUACCGACAGAAUAAGCACCGGCUAACUCUGUGCCAGCAGCCGCGGUAAUACAGAGGGUGCAAGCGUUAAUCGGAAUUACUGGGCGUAAAGCGCGCGUAGGUGGUUUGUUAAGUUGGAUGUGAAAUCCCCGGGCUCAACCUGGGAACUGCAUUCAAAACUGACUGACUAGAGUAUGGUAGAGGGUGGUGGAAUUUCCUGUGUAGCGGUGAAAUGCGUAGAUAUAGGAAGGAACACCAGUGGCGAAGGCGACCACCUGGACUAAUACUGACACUGAGGUGCGAAAGCGUGGGGAGCAAACA
rnacentral:rRNA from 1 species